GCAAGUCGAACGCGAAAGAGUUCUUCGGAACUUGAGUAGAGUGGCGCCCGGGUGAGUAACGCGUAAGUAAUCUACCCUGGUAUCUGGGAUAACCCAACGAAAGGUGUGCUAAUACCGGAUACGAUGAUUUAUCAGUAAGGUGGCCUCUUCAUGAAAGCUACUGUACCAGGAUGAGCUUGCGUACCAUUAGCUAGUUGGUAGGGUAAUGGCCUACCAAGGCAACGAUGGUUAGCGGGUCUGAGAGGAUGAUC
rnacentral:rRNA from 1 species